rnacentral:rRNA from 1 species
GAUGAACGCUGGCGGCGUGCCUAAUACAUGCAAGUCGAGCGAACAGACGAGGAGCUUGCUCCUCUGACGUUAGCGGCGGACGGGUGAGUAACACGUGGAUAACCUACCUAUAAGACUGGGAUAACUUCGGGAAACCGGAGCUAAUACCGGAUAAUAUAUUGAACCGCAUGGUUCAAUAGUGAAAGACGGUUUUGCUGUCACUUAUAGAUGGAUCCGCGCCGCAUUAGCUAGUUGGUAAGGUAACGGCUUACCAAGGCGACGAUGCGUAGCCGACCUGAGAGGGUGGUCGGCCACACUGGAACUGAGACACGGUCCAGACGCCUACGGGAGGCAGCAGUAGGGAAUCUUCCGCAAUGGGCGAAAGCCUGACGGAGCAACGCCGCGUGAGUGAUGAAGGUCUUCGGAUCGUAAAACUCUGUUAUUAGGGAAGAACAAAUGUGUAAGUAACUAUGCACGUCUUGACGGUACCUAAUCAGAAAGCCACGGCUAACUACGUG